CCCUUAGAUGUUCUGGGCUGCACGCGUGUUACAAUCGGGAGUACAACAAGAUUGCAAAUCCUAGUGGAUGAGUGGUUCUUCGAAAUUUUCUGAAGACUGGGAUAGUUGAUUGAAAUUAUUCAACUCGAACGGGGAAUUCCUUGUAAUUGUAAUUCAUUAUAUUGUAAUGAAUACGUCCCUGCCCUUUGUACACACCGCCCGUCGCUCCUACCGAUUGAACGAUCCGGUGAAUUAUUUGGAGUAGCUCUGGAAGUUGCAGAACUUCCUAUGUCACGAAAUUUUGUAAACCUUAUCGUUUAGAGGAAGGAAAAGUCGUAACA
rnacentral:rRNA from 1 species